GAUAAAUUGAGGCUCAGCUUCGUUAACAGCCUCUCUUCCUUGUUGCGGUGAUGUGGGUUAGACGUGCGGUGCAGGAGCGACAAUAACCGGUGUGUUGGAAUCAUCUUAUACGGAUUUAAGAACCUGGAUGCGUCUAAGGUCAUGGAUGCUGCAUGAGCUCUGGCUGCUGGAUUGCCUCAGGUGGAUACUUUGUAGUUUGAAAGGAUUAAAUUGAAUGUAAUGCAUUUGUUAAUUAAAAAUAACUAUUCACUGAAACAUCGAAUGACUCAUCUGUCAGUUUAAAAAUCUUCAGUGGUCACUGAAGUAGAUCAAGCUGUACAUGUUGUAGACAAUAAAACAUC